UGGGGAAUAUUGCACAAUGGGCGCAAGCCUGAUGCAGCAACGCCGCGUGAACGAUGAAGGUCUUCGGAUCGUAAAGUUCUGUUGCAGGGGAAGAUAAUGACGGUACCCUGUGAGGAAGCCCCGGCUAACUACGUGCCAGCAGCCGCGGUAAUACGUAGGGGGCUAGCGUUAUCCGGAUUUACUGGGCGUAAAGGGUGCGUAGGUGGUCUUUCAAGUCGGUGGUUAAAGGCUACGGCUCAACCGUAGUUAGCCUCCGAAACUGGAAGACUUGAGUUCAGGAGAGGAAAGUGGAAUUCCCAGUGUAGCGGUGAAAUGCGUAGAUAUUGGGAGGAACACCAGUAGAGAAGGCGGCUUUCUGGACUGCAACUGACACUGAGGCACGAAAGCGUGGGUAGCAAACAGG
rnacentral:rRNA from 1 species